rnacentral:rRNA from 1 species
CCUACGGUAGGCAGCCGUGAGGAAUAUUGGUCAAUGGGCGGAAGCCUGAACCAGCCAAGUCGCGUGAUGGAUUAAGGCCCUGCGGGUCGUAAACCUCUUUUGCCGGGUAGCAGAGGUCCGGACGUGUCCGGGCCGGGAGAGUACCCGGAGAAAAAGCAUCGGCUAACUCCGUGCCAGCAGCCGCGGUAAUACGGGGAAUGCGAGCGGUAUCCGGAUUUAUUGGGUGUAAAGGGUGCGUAGGCGGGCAUUUAAGCCGGCGGUCAAGUGUCGGGGCUCAACCCCGGCCUGCCGUCGGAACUGGGUGCAUUGAGUGGGCGAGAAGUAUGCGGAAGGCGUGGUGUAGCGGUGAAAUGCAUAGAUAUCACGCAGAACCCCGAUUGCGAAGGCAGCAUACCGGCGCCCUACUGACGCUGAGGCACGAAAGUGCGGGUAUCGAACAGGAUUAGAUACCCGUGUAGUC